CGGCCGUGGGCGCCCGAGCGCGGCGGCGUGCCGGACGCCGAGGGCGGCUGGACGCCCGUCGCCCCCGGUUCGGAGCCGUUCACCGCCGGC
rnacentral:tRNA from 1 species